GAUGAACGCUGGCGGUAUGCUUAACACAUGCAAGUCGAACGGUACCUUCGGGUAUAGUGGCGGACGGGUGAGCAACGCGUGAGAAUCUGUCUUCAGGUCGGGGACAACAGUUAGAAAUGACUGCUAAUACCGGAUAUGCCUACGGGUGAAAGAUUUAUUGCCUGAAAAAGAGCUCGCGUCCGAUUAGCUAGUUGGUGGUGUAAAGGACUACCAAGGCGACGAUCGGUAGCUGGUUUGAGAGGACAAUCAGCCACACUGGGACUGAGACACGGUCCAGACUCCUACGGGAGGCAGCAGUGGGGAAUUUUCCGCAAUGGGCGCAAGCCUGACGGAGCAAUACCGCGUGAGGGAGGUAAGCUUUUUGGAGUGUAAACCUCUUUUAUUAGGGAAGAAUUGAUGACGGUACCUAAUGAAUCAGCAUCGGCUAACUCCGUGCCAGCAGCCGCGGUAAU
rnacentral:rRNA from 1 species